rnacentral:rRNA from 1 species
CUCCUGGGAAGUCCUCGUGUUGCACCCCUCUCUUUUUCUUCGCAUUUUUUUUCGUUGGGCUUAUCGUUUACGUCAGUCCAGCACGCUCGCUUCGUAGGCUUAGCGCGCCCCAGGCCAAAAACACGAGCCGCGGAUCUCGUUUCGGGUGCUAAAGCGUCGCGGCGACGUCGAAAUCCGCGGAAGCCCCUCGGGUUGCACCUCUCCGGCGUUAAGGUGCAUCGUUGCGUUCGGAUCCUUUUAUAAGAAUUAAACGCGCUUAUGCUGAUGGGUGCGAUCAUACCAACACUAAUGCACCGGA